rnacentral:rRNA from 1 species
GAUGAACGCUGGCGGCGUGCCUAAUACAUGCAAGUCGAGCGAACGGACGAGGAGCUUGCUCCUCUGACGUUAGCGGCGGACGGGUGAGUAACACGUGGAUAACCUACCUAUAAGACUGGGAUAACUUCGGGAAACCGGAGCUAAUACCGGAUAAUAUUUUGAACCGCAUGGUUCAAUAGUGAAAGACGGUUUUGCUGUCACUUAUAGAUGGAUCCGCGCUGCAUUAGCUAGUUGGUAAGGUAACGGCUUACCAAGGCAACGAUGCGUAGCCGACCUGAGAGGGUGAUCGGCCACACUGGAACUGAGACACGGUCCAGACUCCUACGGGAGGCAGCAGUAGGGAAUCUUCCGCAAUGGGCGAAAGCCUGACGGAGCAACGCCGCGUGAGUGAUGAAGGUCUUCGGAUCGUAAAACUCUGUUAUUAGGGAAGAACAUAUGUGUAAGUAACUAUGCACGUCUUGACGGUACCUAAUCAGAAAGCCACGGCUAACUACGUG